rnacentral:rRNA from 1 species
UACGAAGGGGGCUAGCGUUGUUCGGAAUUACUGGGCGUAAAGCGCACGUAGGCGGGUUGUUAAGUCAGGGGUGAAAUCCUGGAGCUCAACUCCAGAACUGCCUUUGAUACUGGCAACCUAGAGACUGGAAGAGGUUAGUGGAAUUCCCAGUGUAGAGGUGAAAUUCGUAGAUAUUGGGAAGAACACCAGUGGCGAAGGCGGCUAACUGGUCCAGCACUGACGGCUGAGACGCGAAAGCGUGGGGAGCGAAACAGGAUUGAGAAACCCGAGUAAGGUCCAGACCAAGAUCCCUCGUGCCUAACCG